UACGUAGGGUGCAAGCGUUGUCCGGAAUUAUUGGGCGUAAAGAGCUCGUAGGCGGUUUGUCGCGUUGGCUGUGAAAACUCGGGGCUCAACCCCGAGCCUGCAGUCGAUACGGGCAGACUAGAGUGCUGUAGGGGAGACUGGAAUUCCUGGUGUAGCGGUGAAAUGCGCAGAUAUCAGGAGGAACACCGGUGGCGAAGGCGGGUCUCUGGGCCGAUACUGACGCUGAGGAGCGAAAGCGUGGGGAGCGAACAGG
rnacentral:rRNA from 1 species